UACUGUAGCCAAGUAGGACAACUACAUGAUACUGGGAACAAACUUACACAACUCGGCUUCUCUCCUGUAUUCUUAAAGAAGGUCUGGAGGCAUGGUCUUUCCUGAACCAGAAGUCAUUUAGCUACUUGGACUGCCCAGUGAGCUUCAAGGAUCUGCUUACCUCUGUUGUCUGCCAAACCUGAGGUUAUAGCCAUGCUACCUCACCUGUCUUCUGAGGAUCCGAUCUCAGAUCUUUGUGUGUGUGUGCAGCAGGCUCUGUAUCAAGUGAGCCAUAUCCCUAGCCCAAUAGGCAUAAAUAAUAAAAUAAAAUAAAUAACAACC